UUCUUUUUUCAACAGUAGCAGCAAUUACGUUCUCUAAAAUUCACUCCCAAACCCUAAACCUCAUAGCAUACAGAGGUUCGCUUUUGGUCAGUUUCUCCGCCAUCGCAGUAGCACCCAUAGCUUCGCUAGGGGGGGCAAAACCAAUCGUAGUCUCUGAAGUCCAAAGGGAGGUAUCAUCUUUUAUAGAAGGGGGGCAAAACCAAGAAAAUUUCAGAUUGGUGACUGUGACAGCACUUGGCUUAAUUGUUUUGGUUGACAGUUUUUCCUCUUGAUGUGGCAAAAACUUUAAUUCAGACAAACCCUGAUAAAAAUUGUCCAAGAAAUCCUUUUUGGGUCUUGAGUUCAGGCUGGAUUCAAGGGAUGCUAUACAGGUUUGGGUCCUACUGUAAGUCGAGCAUUUCCUGCUAAUGCUGCAACAAUUGUCGCAUGGGAGCUAGCAUUGAAAAUGCUAGGCAUUAAGCAUGACUGAGAGUCUACCUAAUUGCGGAUAAUACUACAAAGUUCAGACAUUGGCAAAUGGUCAUUAUUCUGCCUAAGGAAAACCUAGUUGUCU